UACGGAGGGGGCUAGCGUUGUUCGGAAUUACUGGGCGUAAAGCGCACGUAGGCGGCUUUGCAAGUUAGAGGUGAAAGCCCGGGGCUCAACUCCGGAAUUGCCUUUAAAACUGCAUCGCUAGAAUUGUGGAGAGGUAAGUGGAAUUCCGAGUGUAGAGGUGAAAUUCGUAGAUAUUCGGAAGAACACCAGUGGCGAAGGCGGCUCACUGGCCCGGUACUGACGCUGAGGCGCGAAAGCGUGGGGAGCAAACAGG
rnacentral:rRNA from 1 species